rnacentral:lncRNA from 1 species
ACUUUGGACUUUUCCACUUUCCUUCAGGUCCUUCGAUAUUCACAUCGGGACAUUCAACAUCCACUUUCGGUCCUGAGACAUCAAUGUCAGCCUUGGGCAGGUUCACAUCCACUUCUCGGCCCUCUCCUUUGAAGCCAGGCAUGCUAAACUUGGGCAUUUUCAUCUUGGGCAUCUUCAGGUGCCAGUCUGGGCCUUGAACCUCCACAUCUGGGACAUCAAUGUCCAUUUUGGCACUUUUAAGUUCAACAUCAGGAACUUUAAUCUCACUUUCAACCUUUGGCAUUGUGACAUCAUAUUCUCCCUUUACGUUAGGGCCUUUCAGAUGUAAGUCCACAUCAGGCAUGGAGAUCUUGGGGACUUUGAUGUUCA